CAACCAAUACACGACAGAACAUCCAGUGGAGAAGAAGGUGAUCAGUUGGUUCAUGCGGAGCAACUCUUCACGUUCAGUUCCUCAAUACAGUUUCUACAGUGAUCAGGAACCAUUGUGUCAACGGAUAGCGCGGGCCAGUGAUUCUCCAGGGGCUGGCGAUGCCUCUCACCUAUUCAUGUCCAUAGUCAUGCCCAAUCUUCUAGCUGUCGUUCACCAGGCUCUUCAUCGACCUCGGUACGACCCUACGAACCACCAGCAUAGAUAACCUAUCUACUUCCUAGAUAAUCUUUUUACAUUCUAUUAGUUAGCUUCUCUAUAAUAUGCAUGUAUGUCUUCUUUAAGGUUUUUGUUUUGUUGAAAUUUGGUCGUUCUAGGACAUGUUUGAUCCUCUGUUAACCAUUUAACUUAGACGAGCAAAGCUUAUCUUACUUUUAUCAAAGAACAAAAUUAUUUUACUUAAUUACUUGGUUGAAUACCAACAUGUGCGGAUAUGCUUUGAGCAGACUCAUGUACGUGUGUUCCUGGUCUGCAGGUGAAAGCUUCAGAGUCAUCUGCUGCUUCUAGGAAAUAUUGCUUUUUAGAAGUGUACCGCGUAAUCUAAGCAAAUACCAGUAUCCAUAACCUGGCACGUACAAGGCAUCGAAUCCAAAUGAAUAUGUUAUAUGUUGACAUAUAGUAGUUUAGGAUGUAAUGGUUUGGCAUAGGAGUUUCCCAGUUUUGGUUUUAUGUUGUGUUAACGGGUUUUGCACAAACAUAAUGGCAUAGCUCUGAAUUUGGGUCCUCGGGAUCAAAAUAUUACUGUUAUAAACAAUCUAAUCAUUUUCCUUUUGCAAGGAAGGUUCUUUGGUUAUCAUCAGUAGAAGCGGGGUUGGAUUCGUUGACAGAUGUUAAAUGAUGGUCAAGGUUUUUUCUCUGUCAACGAUGGUUGAUUGAUCUUGUGGUGGCAGUUCUAUCGUGUUUCACAUGGCUGCAUCUUACAGGUUUUGCCGCCUCGCUCUGCACCCUUUAAGUUGUGGUUGUAUGAAGGAUGAACCUAUGUCUCAUUUUUUUGAGGACGAACAUAUGUACCAUUUCCUUGCUUUAAUAGGUUUAUUAUUGGAAAAAUUAGUAUAUGUUCAAAUUAUUCAUCUCUGACAUCAAGCAAAAUCUUUUUUGAAACCCUUUGAAGACUACACGAAAUAGCUUCAGAGUGGUCAUCAUAAACAUGUACCUAUUUGAAG
rnacentral:lncRNA from 1 species